GACGAACGCUGGCGGCGUGCUUAACACAUGCAAGUCGAGCGGAAAGGCUCCUUCGGGGGUACUCGAGCGGCGAACGGGUGAGUAACACGUGAGUAAUCUGCCCUGCGCUCUGGGAUAGCCACCGGAAACGGUGAUUAAUACCGGAUAUGACCGCUACACGCAUGUGUUGGUGGUGGAAAGUUUUUCGGCGCAGGAUGUGCUCGCGGCCUAUCAGCUUGUUGGUGAGGUAAUGGCUCACCAAGGCUUUGACGGGUAGCCGGCCUGAGAGGGUGACCGGUCACACUGGGACUGAGACACGGCCCAGACUCCUACGGGAGGCAGCAGUGGGGAAUAUUGGACAAUGGGCGGAAGCCUGAUCCAGCAACGCCGCGUGAGGGAUGACGGCCUUCGGGUUGUAAACCUCUUUCAGUACCGACGAAGCGAAAGUGACGGUAGGUACAGAAGAAGGACCGGCCAACUACGUGCCAGCCGCCGCAGUAACAC
rnacentral:rRNA from 1 species